rnacentral:sRNA from 1 species
CUGCAUCAGGGAUGGCAGCGGCAUCCUUUAUAUGGUGCAGCACAGCGGAACCGUAUAAAGAUAAAGCGGACAGCCCGUGCCGCA